CCUACGGGCGGCAGCAGUGGGGAAUAUUGCACAAUGGGGGAAACCCUGAUGCAGCGACGCCGCGUGAGUGAAGAAGUAUCUCGGUAUGUAAAGCUCUAUCAGCAGGGAAGAAAAUGACGGUACCUGACUCAGCAGCCCCGGCUAACUACGUGCCAGCGGCCGCGGUAAUACGUAGGGGGCAAGCGUUAUCCGGAUUUACUGGGUUUAAGGGGAGCGUUGACGGUGCUGCAGGUCCGGGGUGAAAGCCCAUGGCUUAACCAUGGUACUGCCGUGGAAACUGUGGAGCUGGAGUGCGGGAGGGGCAGGCGGAAUUCCUGGUGUAGCGGUGAAAUGUGUAGAUAUUAGGAGGAACACCGACGGCGAAGGCGGCCUGCUGGACCGUAACUGACGUUGAGGCUCGAAAGCGUGGGGAGCAAACAGGAUUAGAUACCCGUGUAGUC
rnacentral:rRNA from 1 species